CGGUCUCGGUUGUCUCGGUCUUCUGUUGACAUUCACAUCAACAGUAAAUAUUUAAUAACAAGUUUAUUACCGCACGAAAACUCGUUAAAAUGUCUUCAAAUCUACUUCGUUGUGCCCCCGAUAAAAAGGCAGACGAUUCGGUUUCGAUUCAUCCUAUCGAGCAAUUUUUUAUAAGAAACUCCAUGCUUCUGAUGUUUCUUCCCAGAAAUCCGGACAAACAUGAGGUUGGGGCAAUUGUUCUUUGAGCCCGGAAAUGCCUUAUACAGGCUAAAGUGAUGGAGAUUGAAAUGCUACCAACUCCACGUUUGUGCAAUAGUGGUGGGCGUGACGUGAGAACGGCCAGGAGGAACCGACGAUAUCCUGAUUAUAUAGGAAUAAUGUAGAUCACCGUGAACAUCAAGCGCAAUUAAUGCAUGAUAGUGACAAAAAGAUAAUCCGGUUUAAUCUGUUCCUGUAAAAUUUCUACUAUGUCCAGAUGUAAAUAAAAAUAUUCGUUCCAUUUUAAAAUCCAA